ensembl:rRNA 5S_rRNA 5S ribosomal RNA
GCCGGCAGCCAUAUCACCCUGGAGCCCAAGACCAGUUUCCCACUGAAGCUAAGCAGGGCUGAGCCUGGUCAGUACCUGGAUGGGAGACCUCCUGAGAAAACCAGGUUGCUGCUGGAA